rnacentral:rRNA from 1 species
GACGGACGCUGGCGGCGUGCUUAACACAUGCAAGUCGAACGAUGAAGAAGAGAAACGCGAACUUCGGUUCAAAUUUCACUUCGGAUUAGUGGCAGACGGGUGAGUAACGCGUGAGCAACCUACCUCUUACAAAGGGAUAGCCUCGGGAAACCGUGAUUAAUACCAUAUGACACAUUCAUAAGGCAUCUUAAGAAUGUUAAAGCUACGGCGGUAAGAGAUGGGCUCGCGUCCCAUUAGCUAGUUGGUGAGGUAACGGCCCACCAAGGCGACGAUGGGUAACCGGCCUGAGAGGGUGAACGGUCACAUUGGAACUGAGACACGGUCCAAACUCCUACGGGAGGCAGCAGUGGGGAAUAUUGCACAAUGGAGGGAACUCUGAUGCAGCGACGCCGCGUGAGCGAUGAAGGAAUUCGUUUCGUAAAGCUCUGUUCUAUGGGAAGAAAAGGACUGUACCAUAGGAGAAAGCCCCGGCUAAAUACGUG